rnacentral:miRNA from 1 species
CGCAGUAUUAUUCCAGUGAAUGU